UACGGAGGGUGCAAACGUUGCUCGGAAUUAUUGGGCGUAAAGAGCUCGUAGGCGGCUUGUCGCGUCGGAUGUGAAAGCCCGGGGCUUAACCCCGGGUCUGCAUUCGAUACGGGCAGGCUAGAGUUCGGUAGGGGAGAUCGGAAUUCCUGGUGUGAGCGGUGGAAAUGACGCAGAUAUCAGGAGGAACACCGGUGGCGAAGGCGGAUCUCUGGGCCGAUACUGACGCUGAGGAGCGAAAGCGUGGGGAGCGAACAGG
rnacentral:rRNA from 1 species